ensembl:lncRNA
UUACGUAACAGGCCAAAACUUCAGUUUGAUCACACAUCCGCGUUAGAUCCUCUUUACCUCUUAUUCGACCGAGAUCGUACUGUUUAGACACAGCCUGCGUCCCAAUACGCACACGAUCCAUUCUCUGUGAUGAUAGUAAUUUUCAGCACUGUUUAGGGCAGAUAGUAUGCACACUGGGACGCAGGGAUAGUAUAGACGUGAAAAGCUUAGCAUCGUUAGCAUCGUACCUUGAAAACACGCGAAUGGCUGCAUCCUCGAUGGUUUAAAAUAAAGUAGAUAUCGCGUUAUUUUCACCCGAUUUGAGUCGUUUUUUGCUCUUCGUGUGGUAAAAGAAUAGCUUUUCCUCAUCUGUGAACUAAAGAUGCUGCAUUUCCUCGGUUUUCCUCACAGAGAGACACCUGCUGCACAAAUGAGGAAUAACAGCGGCACUUCCCGCGCUUUUCCUCCAGGUGGCGCCAAUGGCAAACGCAUCGCCAUGGAAACAGAAAGAGCGGGAAUAUUCAAGCGAAGCAUUAGAAGAAAGACACAGUGCCGUCUGUGUCUGAACGCUUUCAUCAACCAAAGGCCCAACCGGAGCAUUUUUACGCAGGAAUUCCUGCUGAAUGGACGCUUGGAUCAGAGGAGGGUCUCUCCUCUAAAUCUGACCGAGUUCCUUUGAAAACUUCAGCUUCAGGCAACAAAGACAGGAGGUCCGAACACAUUCUUUCCCCUCUCUCUCGCUCCCAUUCUUUCUUUACAAUGUUGCAUGGCCAGUUUCCGGCCCUGUUCCUGCUUUCUUCCUUUUCCAGCAUGGUCAGAUUGAAGGUCAUUAGCUCACUUGUGCCACUGGACUCAGUGUGUAUGUGUGAGUUUGUCUAUUCAGGCUUUAUUCUGUAAAGCACAGGCAGACGUGCAGUGAAUAAUGUGUUCUUUUCAUGCUUUUGGUGCAGAGCUGAUUCUGUCUAUGAGUUUCAGAAAGCAACAGUGCAUCUAUAAGUGCUAGCAAUCACACCGAAUCUUCCAGAAAACAAGUCACAGUGUUAAGAGAAAAACACAGAUACAAGUUGCAUCUAUUAGAAACAACAUUUAUUGUAAACUCAAUUACAAAACUAACAAAAUGUAUUUUAAAGUGAAACUAAAUCCAAUUGUGUUGCGCUUGACGUUAAUAGCAUUAUUUAAGCCACAUUGGGCUAUAAAUUGCAGCACAAAUCAGAUGAUAAAAAAAACAUAUAUUAUAAACAUAUAUUAUACAUUAUAAACAACAUUUAUUAUAAAAACGCAAGCCUAAAUAAAUGCAUUUGAAGAACAAUCUAAAUGUGUGUG